UUCCAUGGUCACGGAUUUCAUGUUGUAUUGUAUCCCUGCUUCCGCCCGGUGCCGUCUGACUGUGAUGACGUCAGCGGAAACACAGGGGGGAGCCGCGUACCGAACACACAUUUGCACCAUGGUAUAAAGUACACUUACCCGACCCUUCUGGCACCCAAUGGCUGCUGCCUGUCAGGAGGAGACAUGGCCACGACCACACCCACUCAAGUACCUGGGGCAAGUCUUCUUCUCUACUCUCCAGCUGGCACCUGUGUAAAACUUGUAAACAAAGCAA